CCUACGGGUUGCACCAGUGGGGAAUAUUGCACAAUGGGCGCAAGCCUGAUGCAGCCAUGCCGCGUGUAUGAAGAAGGCCUUCGGGUUGUAAAGUACUUUCAGCGGGGAGGAAGGUGUUGUGGUUAAUAACCGCAGCAAUUGACGUUACCAACAGAAGAAGCACCGGCUAACUCCGUGCCAGCAGCCGCGGUAAUACGGAGGGUGCAAGCGUUAAUCGGAAUUACUGGGCGUAAAGCGCACGCAGGCGGUUGAUUAAGUUAGAUGUGAAAUCCCCGGGCUUAACCUGGGAAUGGCAUCUAAGACUGGUCAGCUAGAGUCUUGUAGAGGGGGGUAGAAUUCCAUGUGUAGCGGUGAAAUGCGUAGAGAUGUGGAGGAAUACCGGUGGCGAAGGCGGCCCCCUGGACAAAGACUGACGCUCAGGUGCGAAAGCGUGGGGAGCAAACAGGAUUAGAUACCCUAGUAGUC
rnacentral:rRNA from 1 species